AUUUUAGGUGUCAACUGGAUUCAUGAACAGACAACUGGAAAAACCUUACUUCUGGCUGUAUCAGUGAGGGCUUCCAGAGAAGACUGGUGUGUGACUCAGUGGACUGAGUGAGGAAGAUUCACCUUCAAUGUAGCCUAUCUAUAAGAAGCAGCACAGCCUCGGUUACUUUUAGAGGAAAUUAUCAAAAUAUCAUCUGCACAGAAGCAAAAGAAGGAAGGAAAAGAGUUUUAAUAACAAAGUUUUAUCCGUGAGGU